rnacentral:rRNA from 1 species
GAUCAUAGCGUCAGGAUGAACGCUGGCGGCGUGCUUAACACAUGCAAGUCGAACGAAGCACUUUACCUGAUUUCCUUCGGGGAUGAUUGUUCUGUGACUGAGUGGCGGACGGGUGAGUAACGCGUGGAUAACCUGCCUCACACAGGGGGAUAACAGUUGGAAACGACUGCUAAUACCGCAUAAGCGCACAGCACCGCAUGGUGCAGUGUGAAAAACUCCGGU